rnacentral:lncRNA from 1 species
ACUGCACUCACUCCAUGGAUGCAAGCCCGGGCGAUGAAAGAAUCAACAUCCUCCUGGCAGGAGUCACUGGUGUCGGCAUGGAGACAUGACCCAGGACCAUACUGGAAUGACCCCAUCGGCUCUCCUGGGUCUCCAGCCUCCAGAUGCAGAUGGUGGAACUUCCCAGCCUCCGUAAGCACGAACCCAGUUACAGAAAAUCAGUCUUGGAGCGACUUGGGGUCGGGAUGAAGGAUGCAGUGCAGACCACGGUGCUCCUUCCCUUCUCUUUACUCCCCCUCUGCAGCAGUUUUUCCCCAGCCAAGGUCCUUCAAGAGGGUGGUGUCUGAUUGUUACCGUGUUGUCUGGGGACAGUGCCAUUCCCUGGGGAGGGCAGAGACAAGGAAAUGAUUACAAUGUGGAAGUGAGGACCUGUAUGGAUAUUCUCCUUAAGAAGAGACUUUGACUAUAUGAGUUCUGCUACCAAAGAUAAGAGAGGAAGAGAUGGAGAAGAAAUCAAAGGACGAACAGCCAAGCCAGCGUGCCAUCCAGAGAGUGGAUGCGUCUCCGAGAGCGAGCUGAGAGGCAGCAGCCUGUGCUCUGUCGUCUGCUCCCUUCCGUCCUCCGGCGGGUUGCUGGGC